rnacentral:rRNA from 1 species
UGCAAGUCGAGCGGAUCGAUGGGAGCUUGCUCCCUGAGAUCAGCGGCGGACGGGUGAGUAACACGUGGGUAACCUGCCUGUAAGACUGGGAUAACUCCGGGAAACCGGGGCUAAUACCGGAUAACACCUACCCCCGCAUGGGGGAAGGUUGAAAGGUGGCUUCGGCUAUCACUUACAGAUGGACCCGCGGCGCAUUAGCUAGUUGGUGAGGUAAUGGCUCACCAAGGCGACGAUGCGUAGCCGACCUGAGAGGGUGAUCGGCCACACUGGGACUGAGACACGGCCCAGACUCCUACGGGAGGCAGCAGUAGGGAAUCUUCCGCAAUGGACGAAAGUCUGACGGAGCAACGCCGCGUGAGUGAAGAAGGUUUUCGGAUCGUAAAACUCUGUUGUUAGGGAAGAACAAGUGCCGUUCGAAUAGGGCGGCGCCUUGACGGUACCUAACCAGAAAGCCACGGCUAACUACGUGCCAGCAGCCGCGGUAAUACGUAGGUGGCAAGCGUUGUCCGGAAUUAUUGGGCGUAAAGCGCGCGCAGGUGGUUUCUUAAGUCUGAUGUGAAAGCCCACGGCUCAACCGUGGAGGGUCAUUGGAAACUGGGGAACUUGAGUGCAGAAGAGGAAAGUGGAAUUCCAAGUGUAGCGGUGAAAUGCGUAGAUAUUUGGAGGAACACCAGUGGCGAAGGCGACUUUCUGGUCUGUAACUGACACUGAGGCGCGAAAGCGUGGGG